UACGUAGGGGGCAAGCGUUGUCCGGAUUUAUUGGGCGUAAAGGGCGCGUAGGCGGUGCGGUAAGUCGGGUGUGAAAUCUCGGGGCUUAACUCCGAAACUGCAUUCGAUACUGCCGUGCUUGAGGACUGGAGAGGAGACUGGAAUUUACGGUGUAGCGGUGAAAUGCGUAGAUAUCGUAAGGAAGACCAGUGGCGAAGGCGGGUCUCUGGACAGUUCCUGACGCUGAGGCACGAAGGCCAGGGGAGCAAACGGG
rnacentral:rRNA from 1 species